AGCGAUAGUGACGUUGCGCAUGUUCUUCCUCCUCCAAGUUUCUCCUCUUUGUCUUCUGCGGCUUGCAAAAAUGCGGCUCCUUUUGGAGCUUAAUUCAAAUCUUCCUUGUCAGGAUAAGUGGCUCCUCGCCUGCCUUCCUGCAGCGUUUCCUUACGCUUGUCUCUGGAAGGCGUUUCGUUCUACCUGCGGCUUGUAUGGCGAGUCCUCCGGCCCCUCAUCUGUUUUGACUUCCUCUGACCCCCCUUCCCGUGCUAGUGCGACUCAGGAGAUUUGGUUCCAGGGCUGGCUGAGAUGGGAAGAGCCGCGCUGCUGUGAGAGGCAUCCACUGAGCAGGUGACCCAGCCGCUGUGGGUGAGCAGGUGUGGCAUCAUUCUGGGGCUGAAAGCUGCGGAGACUUCCUGAUCGCCGGAGGCACUUGUGGCCUGAGCACGGAGCUGGCGGUGGGGACUGUGGGGUUUUGACUCCCCGCCUUCCUGAUGUUGUCAUAGCCGCCAUUCCUUGCUGGGCCUGCUCUGUGGUGUCAGUGGGUCUGGACCCAUGCUUCCAGCCCUCCGAUGCGUCCAUCAGCACUCAGUUUAUUGUAUCCCAUUCAUUACUGUUAAAAAAUAGAGUUAUGUCUUUGUGUCCUU